GACGAACGCUGGCGGCGUGCUUAACACAUGCAAGUCGAACGGUGAAGCGCCUUCCUUUUUGGUGGGUGUGGAUGCGUGGCGAACGGGUGAGUAACACGUGAGUAACCUGCCCCCUUCUUCUGGAUAACCGCAUGAAAGUGUGGCUAAUACGGGAUAUUCUGGGUCUGUCGCAUGAUGGGUCUGGGACAGCUAUUGUUUCGGUGGGGGCUGGGCUCGCGGCCUAUCAGCUUGUUGGGGGGGUGAUGGCCUACCAGGGCGGUGGGGGUUAGCAGGCCUGGGAGGGUGGACGGCCUGAGAGGGACAGAGGCACGGUCCAGACUCCGAUAGGAGGCAGCAGUGGAGAAUAGGGAACAGUGGGGGCAAGCGUGAAGCAGCGACGCGGCGUGAGGGAUGGAGGCCUUCGGGUGAUGAACCUCUUUCGCCAGUGAAGCAGGCCUGCCUCGUUUGUGGGUGGGUUGACGGUAGCUGGAUAAGAAGCGCCGGCUAACUACGUG
rnacentral:rRNA from 1 species